GCUAUGAUGCACAAAACCUUUAAUGAGAAGGAGGAAAUGCAGUGGCACAGAACAGAGACCAAGAAACACAUCUGCAGGAUUGAGGGACGCACAGAGGAUGGCCCAUUACCCAAGGACAAGCUGCACACAAAGCGCUUGCCUUUUCCCAUUCUGCUCUCCCUGGUGGCAACGGCAGCCCACCAAGAGUGAUGCCUAACUCCAGCACCCUCUCCCCUUCAGCAGGGGGUUCAGCAAAGCAGAAGAGAAUAAGACCUUUCCAGAGGGCUCAGAGCAAAGAAGAGCCAGAGGAGACACUGCCACACCAGCCGUGCAGCGAGGAGAAGUGGGCACAGGUCCCUCCUGCCAGGUGGCAUGAGGACACCAAGCCUGUCUGCAAGACAUGUCCAUGACCUGCUGCUGCAGGGUCCUAUCUUCCGUCCUGCUCCCGAAGGGAUGAUUCGCCAGCUUCAGCAGUUCAGACUGCAGCGGGGGACAGGCAGACACAUCCCGGACCCGCCCAGACCAAGGGAGCCCCCAGAAGAGAUGGGAACUCCACUGGCACUGAGGGAGCUCCCAACAGCAGCUGACAGAGACGAUCCCACGGCCGUGCUCUGAGGGAAAGAGUUGAGGAUGGGGCCCGGCAGGGUCACCACCACCGGCGAGGGCUCGAUGAACACCGUCGAGUCAGCGCAGCGGGCAACACAGGGCUCACUGCAGCUGCUUGCAAGUGGGGUUGGGCCAGA